GAGGAAGCUGAAGAAGGGGGCUCUGUGGGGUGCAAGGACACAGAGCCACAGUCCCACUGCAGGGACAGCCUCUGUGAGCUUGCCCUCUGGCAUUGCCAGCAGUGGCCCUUCUCCACAGCACUGCCUGGAUCUCUGAAGCCACUCAGAGGACACAUCUGGAACCUCUUUCCUGCGGAUUGGACAGUGGAGGCAGUGCCACAGUGGAUUUUCAGUGGUGUCUGCCCUGGCUGCCUGGUGGCUGCCCCUCAGAGCCAGCGCCUGAGAACGUGGCUGCUAGUGAAUGUGUUUAUGUGUUUAUGUGACCACAGGUAUGUGCCCUUGGUGACAGAUCUAUUCCAUGUUGUACGUUCUGUCAGGCAGUGGGAUGUGGGAGGAAGCCAGAGGGAGUGUCCCUGAGGUUGUGACGUCACACUCAGAAGAGGGAGGGUCCCUGGGGUGCAGAGUCUGGGCUUUGGGAGAAUGUGCGUGGCGUUUCUCCUGGGUUCAGGCUGAAUGAGGUCUUUGGAAAUGACAGUUCCUCUGCUGUUAAAUUUAGCUAUGGUUUAUCCAAUACAGAGGAAGAUGGUCUAUCUCACAAGUGACACGUCACCCAUUCUCUACUUUGCAAAUGCAUUUUCUGAGUGUGAUAGCCAUUGCUUAGCACAGCCCUAACUCUGGUCAGGUGAAGAUGAUCUCCUCUCUGCCUGCGAGUGAACUCUGAGCCUUGAACACUCCCUGAGUUUCAGGAGAAAUCUUCCCACAGACUAGGAGACACCUCUGCUUGGCAAAGCGCAAUGACAGCAGGAACGUUCUUUCCCCUUCCUGAAGGUUCCAGAAAGGAAAAGGGCUGUGGGAUACCAGCUGACCAGUGUUGUUAGAGGCUGACAGGGAACCCAGGGUCCUGCUGGGCAAUGUGGGGAAUACCAAGGCAAUUGAAGUCACAACAUUUGGAUGUUGUUGUUUAUUUGUUUUUUGCUUUUUAUUUUGAGAUGCUUCCAACCCCACAGGGAGAGAAAAUGGAAAACUGAGAGGUCUGCUCCGUGCUCUUCCUCAUUGAUGUGUGCCCUUUGGAGUGUUCCUCAGGUUUUGUUCUUGGCUUUCCCCAUCUUCUUCUACACACUCCCCAUUUCCUAGGCUCCCACAGUGAUUGGCAGUUCCAUUCGACCCGAGAUCUCUUGAUCACUAAACCCAUGUAUCUGUCAUUUACUAUCUUGUGGACACUGCCCUCUUGCCCCACAGGUGCCUGACUGAGCAGUCCCUUGCUGACUCUGGCAUCAUCUUCCUCAUAUUUGCAUCUUCCAGUUAAAGGGUCCAUGGUCCUCCUCGUCGCACAAGUUAAAAAUCUCCGGGGUAUUUCGACAAUCCCUUCUUAAUCACAACCUUUUGAUUUUUACGUCUAAAGUAUCUCUUGAAUACAUUUUCUUUCCUCUGUUGCCAAAGCUUUAGCUUAGAUCUUCUGCACUUCUUCCUUGCACGAUCAGAGGCACCUGUUAGUGGUCAGCACUAUGAGAAUAAAUUCUCCCUUUUCAUAAGAAAUAUUUUAUACAAUCCCCUUUACUGCCCUGAAAUGAAAUUUGUAAGGGAUGUAAUCUACUUGCACAUGUAUUUUAAAAAUUCAUCUAGAGCCCCAACUUUGAUGUAAAAGAAAAAUACAAUUAGAAAAGAAGUUUAUAAUAUAAUAAUACAUGUUUCAGGACAUGAAGACUCAGCAUGACAGAAUUAAGUGAUUGGUCACUGCACCUCUAUGGAAAAUUGUCAGAAAUGUGAGAGCUGUAAAUGCAACCCACCAAAGGCCAUUAGCAUGUUCUAUGGGUGGCUCAAAUACGCAGAGGGAUGCUGCUGUUGGUGAUGCAAUUUUCCAGCAAGGUGAAAACUCACAGGAAAUUGCUGACCCAAAUAAAGUACAAUCUUCUCAUAAUUUAUAGGUGCAAAGGUUGCAUUCCUGAAAAAUCCAAUAUAUAUUAAAAUCAUGCCAACCCAGCCCAUUUGUUUUUAUAUGUAAAUGUGUAGCAGGACACAGAAUGAUUCUCCCAUGUGGGCAAGUGUCCCUGCAUUUUCAGGACAUCUAUCACCCCAUUUACCACCCAUUCACUGACAGCCGUGCUCCAAAGCGUUGCCUCUACCAACAAACCCUCCCACAAGUUUAGAAAACGUAUCUUGGCAAUGGGUAGUGUUUCUAUUGGGAACCACGACAAAACCUCAAUUUACUUAUAUAAAGUUUUACUUACACAAGCAAUGCACGAUUGUCUCCUCCUUGUAAAAAAUGAAGAUUUUUACAGGUGCAGUUAAAUUCCCUUUGACUUCCACCCCCACCCUAGUCUAAUGCACACUCAUUCUAAGUGGCAAGCAAUGUCAACAAUUGAGUAUAUCUCAUUCCAGAGCUUUUAUAUAUUCACCUACAGUUUGUGUAUCCAUAGAAAAUAUAUGGUAUCUGGUAUAAGUUGAAUUGCGUUCCCUCCCCCAAACUCGUAUGUUGAAGUCUUAGCCUCUAGUACUUCAGAAUGUGACCUUAUUUGGUCACAUUCCUCUGUUGCCAAAGCUUUAGCUUAGAUCUUCUGCAUUUCUUCCUUGUACGAUCAGAGACACCUGUUAGUGGUCAGCACUAUGAGAAUAAAUUCUCUCUUUUCAUAAGAAAUAUUUUAUAAAAUCCCCUUUACUGCCUUGAGAUAGCACCUUUGAAAAUGUAAUUGAUUAGGCUAAGAUGCAGUCCUGCUGGAGUACAGCAGGCCUCUAAUCCAAUAUGACUGCUGUCCUUAUCUGGGAAAAUUCGGAUGAAGAGACACACAUACAGGUAUGGGGUCUCUCUCUGUCACCCAGGCUGGAGUGCGGUGGCACAAUCACUGCUAACUGCGACCUUGAUCUCCUAGGCUGAAUUGAUCCUCCUGCCUCAGCAUCCCGAGUAACUGAGUCUACAGGUGCAUGCCACCAUGCCUGGCUAUUUUUUUUUCAGGGAUAAGGCCUUCCUAUGUUGCCCAGGCUGGACUUGAACUCCUGAGCUCAAGUGAUCCUCCUGCCUCAGCCUCCCAAAGUGC
rnacentral:lncRNA from 1 species